UGACCCUGCACCUGCUCACGUCUCAUUCCCACUGUUCCGGUUCCCGCCACAGCGGCCUGUGCAGAGCAGACCACACGCACCAUCACCACAUCACACGCCGACGCACACUAACUCGUUGUUGGUGCCCACCCAAGCAGUGGCGCACGGCCUUGUGCGCGUGGCGUUUUUACUCUUUCUCGUACUCAUAGAAUUCGCAGAGCGUACACACGGUGCAACGACAUCGAAGUAGCGGACGGCUGGGCCUUAACAAACUGUGCAAGCUGGAGAGCGCUCGCAGACACUCGCAUGCUACGCACAAGCGAACUUUUCAAUACAGGAACAGCAAACCUCGACGCUCUCUCUCCGUCUAAACACAUCUUCCAAGACGCCGUGCCGCUUCAUUGCCCCUCCCCCUUCCCCUCCACAACCACCACGUAGCGCUCCGCACAUCGGUUGUGGACACACCAUUUCUUUCAUAGAUAGCUAACAGUAAGAACAAGAAGGGCUGGAGCACGAGAGGGCGCGUCGCCCCUUUCUUCUGCAAGCAUUUGCUGGCUUGCUGCUCUUGCUUCCAUCUGCGUGUGUGCGGACUUACGCUCACCCCCGCACACCGCAGCUCCCGUGUGCCUUUCUUGCGGUAGCCCAACGCCAUCCGCAUCGUCGAGCGUCUCUCCUUUCGCACCGCAGACGCGCGUCGCGCAGGCUGCAAGAACUGCUGUGGCCUUUCGGAUUAUCUCGAGCGCUGCGAUCACUUCGGCUGUCGCCGUCACCUCUUCGUCCGCCCCCUUUGGCGGAAAAGUCGCCUCACACCUGCAGCUCUCACUCUCUCUCUCUCGUGCUCGUCAUGUUGGCGCUUCGCGACGCUCACGCGCACGGCGCAACCCGUGUCAGUAUUGGUGGGCAGCACCUACUCACGGGCGGCGCGGAUGGGGUUGUUUCGCUCUACUCGACGAAGCACUGGCCCACGGCGGCGGCGCUAUGGUCUUUCAGAUGCCAUGACGGGGCUGUCACCGAUGUUGCGCUUGUCGACGCGCUCGAGCUGGCGCUCAGCUGCGGUCGUGACGGUCGCAUACUGUUUCACGAGAGCAUCGCCGACAGCGCCAAGCUUGUCUCUCGCGUGAUAUGUCAGGUCACAGGUGAAGUGCGUUGCAUGCAUAUGGACAUCGAGCGGCGACGGCUAUACAUCGCGGGAGACUCGCUGCGCUGCCUGGACAUGUCGCAGGACAAGUUUCAGAUUCGCACUAUUCCGUUGGUGGUGCCCUUCCCGCUUGUGUCGCUGGCUGUUUCGCCGUGUGGACGGUAUAUCGCCAUGGCCAGCGCGUCUGGGGAGCUCGGCGUGGUGCCGACGCACGCCACAACACCGGCAGAGGCGGGCGCUACACCGAAGACUCAGUUUGUUUUUCGCUCUGUCCUUUCCCCCACCGCGAAGAAAGAGGACACUGCGAUGUACCGGAUGUCAUGGUGCCGCACCGCUAUCAGCGGGCUGAUGCUGAUGGUACCUACAUCCACAGAGGUGCAGGUCUACGCGCUGGAGGACUGUGACAGCAACAGCAGCCUCUCUGCGCCGCGCAUGCGUGCCAUUGGGGGGCUGCAUGAUCGGCACUUUACUGAUCUACACGGCGCGCUUGUCUAUCCAAUCACAAAGACGCAGGUGGCAUGCCUGCUGGCGACGCGCGAUGGGCUCUUUGUGGGGAAAGUACACAGCAAGACGUUGGCCAUGUCGCGCCAUAUGUCGGAGCGCUACAACACCUCGUCUUUCUCAACCCCGAGUAGUGGAGCCGUCGUGGUUGCGGCAGCUGAAGGCGAAGACAGAGGCAGCACAGCUGUGGUCACCGAUGUACAGGUGAAUCCAGUGAACGGAGACGUCGCUGUUGGGCUCACCGACGGACGCAUUUCGCUGCUGCGUCGAGCGUCGCCAAAGGCGUGGAGUUCAGGCACGGCAACCGGCUCAUCGACUGCAUCGAUGGCGGGCAACGCUGAUGAAGAUGCAGAGGGAAUCGCAGAGCAAGAGGAUAAGGCAAAAGUGGACAAUCGGAGCAUGCGUCACAAAAGCCGCGCAUGCCGUGCAGAUAAGAGCGGAUGUGGCGCUGCGCAGACGGAGAAGAGUGACGAUGACUUCAUCGACGACGGCAGCAAUGACGGCACGGCUUCCGUCGACUCCUCCUCGUCGGCGUCCUCGUCCAUUGCGUCUUCGGACAGCGGCGCCGCCCCAGAGGACUUUGGGAAGAUCGUGGUAGACCUGCAGCGCGACGGGGCCUCUCUGCAUGGCCGCGAAAGUGAGCGACCGUCUCGCUGGCGCGAUGAUGAGGAGGUAGCGCUGGCACAUGCCAAGCGCGAGGUGGAACGGCAGCGCGGCCGCAGCCGUUUUCUCGACGACGAGGCUGAGGAAGGGACCCCCAGCGACGACGAAGAGGACGGGCCCGGCGACGAUAACGUGAGGAGGGCACGAGGUCAGGCUUGUGCUCCAUACGACGAGGAGGACCACUUCGGCGACGACCUCUCCAUGGAGGGCCACACCGACGAAAACGGCGACUUGGCAAACGUCUCUUCGGGCCGCGGUGGGGACUCGACGCUGCCGGUCGGCCGCGUGCCGGCGGUGCAGGACUACUCCUUCCAAGUCGGCGCCACCCCACCUGGGGAAGAGGGCAACUGCUAUCUGGCCUACAACUCUGUUGGGUACAUCCAUUGCAGCCGCGACGCCACCACGGUCCACUUCCACGACAUUUCGCAUCCUGCCGUGCGCUUGCAGCUCCGGGACACCGUCCUGAUGGGGACGCUGAGUCCCGUCGGUGCCGCCUUCAUCGUUUUACCGGCUGAUCCGACUGAGGCGCAGGGCAGCGUGGACGAGGCGGCACGGCUCUCCGUCCUCUACCACGCCUUUACGCCCCUUGGUGCGCAGUCGGAGUGGCGUGUGGCGCUGCUGCCAGGCGAGACGGUGCGGUGCAUGGCUGCUGGUAUCCGCUAUGUCGCAGUCGCGACGAGCCACUACCUGCGCAUCUUCUCCCUCUCGGGACUGGAACUGGCGGUGCUCAGCAAGUCCCAGCGCAUCGUCACGAUGGUCGGCACCUCGUCGCGUAAGCUGAUGAGCAGUUUCAAGGCUGAUUUCGACCCAUUGGUCAUCAUCAGCCUCACUGGUACCGGCGAGCUGCAGAUGGAGGUGAUCGAUGUCGGCGCACGCACGUCGGCGCUGCCGCCGCGCACGGUACCGCUCACGGAGCUGCCGGAUGGCUCGACGCAUCAGCUGCAGUGGCUUGGAUGGUCAGAGGACGGCCUGCUACACAUUGUGGACACAGCCGGUGUGGUGCGCCAGUUCACCGAGGACUGGGGUGGCUCGUGGGUCCCGGUGUACGACCCGCGCACGCUGGUGGAUCAGUCGUACGCGCUCUGGGUGUACGGCGUCAGCGAGAGCGCGCUGCUAGCGUAUCGUUACUCUCGCGACGACCCGUCGUACCCGGCGGCGGCGGCGAGCGGGCUGAGCACAGAGCUCGUGCCGCUCUUUCUUCCCUUGACUCGCACGAUGGGCGAGGACGGCCUGGAGCGGUGGGACAAGCUGCUGCGCCAGCAGCUGCGCUGCGACGAGCUCAAGCGGCACAGUACCUUCUACAGCGCAAACAUCGCCAAGUACGACGAAGUGCACGACCACCACCUGCUCCAGUUCUUUGACAGCGCGCUCAAGAGCCAGCAAACAACACGGGCGAUGGAGCUGGCCAUGCUCAUGGAGAUUCACGACCGCGUCGUGAAGUGUGCGCAGCUGGCCAACGCAAACGGGCACGUGAAGCUGGUCCCGAAGCUGCUGGCGCUGUAUGAGAUGCGCAUGGCGACGAAGCAGAAGCGGAAGUGCGGACUGCCAGCAAAGGAGAAGCUCGCGUCUGACAAGAAGAAGGACGAGCUGCUGCACAAGCUGCUCGGACAGAUUUUGCCGCAGGACAAGAGGGCGAAACCUGCCGACAGUGCUGCGGCUGCGCCACCGACGCCCAUCGCUGUCGAGGUGGUGGAUGAAGAGUCGAAGGAAAUGAAGACUGAAAACCGCACGAGCCCCCUUCGCGGACCAACCUCAACGACAGCAUCGAGCCUCACCGCAACGUCACCAUCCGCGGUGUCUACGGCGACGACGGCGGACCCCAACGCCUUGCCUUCACAAGCGCGGCGUCACAUCUCAUUUGCGAAGGAAGUUGCCCUCUCACCGCCUGCGUCGCUGAGCUCACAGAGCACGACGACGAGCACUCUGCCAACGACAGGGAGCAGCGCACCCGCUCUUUCGCGCAAGCUUGCCAAUCCAUUUGCCAAGACCUCUGUGACGCCCGUCAAGGCCGCUGACCAGGUGCGGCAUACGUCGCUGUCGAACCCCCAGCAGUCGCACCAUCAGCAUCAGUCCCAGCUGCAGGCGGCGCUUCCCACCUCUAAGCCCCACUCCUCGACGGCAACCGCCACGGGGGCCGCCACACUCUUGGGCUCGUCGCAGCUGCACACCCCGCCGCGCACCCGCGUUGCGGCGACAAGGACGACCGCCGUUUCUGUUGUUCAGGAGAGCGACGCCGCCAAGUGUGUCUUCGCGGAUGACACCACGCCGACAGGAUCGCGUGUGAGUGCUGCGCGCACUCCAUCCUCACCGAUCCACGGGGCAAGCCCUGUGCCCACUGCCAGCACGGGCGGCAGUGCCGUGACACCUUCCGUGUCUGCCACCACGUGCAAGCCUGACGUGCACCGUGCAGCCGCCUCGACGUCCUCUCCCGCGUUUGUCGCACGCGAGCUGCCGACCACGAGCGCCACUCUGGUGGCGAGCGACACGCCCCGUCUCAGCAGCGGCGCUUUCGAUCCGUUUCUUGAGGAGCCGCGGAAAUCUUUCGCUGGCACCCCCAGCUGUGAGUUUCUGAUGGGCUCCCACACCAGCGCCACGUCCGCAGCGGCGGAGGCACCUAUAUCGGUGCAGUCACUGCUCGAUGUCGGACACGGCGAAACGGCCCCGGUGGUGCGCAGCGACAGCUUCGGUGAGGCACUCCGCAAACGCUACCGUGAGGAUGAGGAAGAGGACGCCGAGGAGGCACCGCUUGCGACGCUCCCAAAGCUGUCUGUGUGACAAGUCAGCAUUCGGGGGAGCCCAGUCGGAAGCGGGUCUUCAUCGCCGCUAAUGUGCGUUCGUGGGGCCCAUACAGUGUUGGCUGCGCACGUGGACUGGCACAUGUUGCUGUUUUCUUGUUUCGGCUGGUGUGGCGACUCUGUCUUACAUGCAGCAUCGACGAUGACAGGAAGGGCAGCCGUCUUCGUUGACCAAAGAGAUGCGCAUGAGCGUGAGGCGGUACGCCAUUCAUCCGAUCACCACGUCUCGCAGAUGGGAAAAGGGAUGGAAGUGCGACCACCUUCGCUACCCUUUUUUGCUCUCCUACCUGCAGUGCAGGACACGCC
rnacentral:misc_RNA from 1 species